UGCUAUAUCUGUCUAUUUCCAGCCCCAGUGUAACUUGUAUGCCCUGCCUGGAUGCCCAAGGAAUUUUAAUCCAGUUUGCGGAACUGAUGGAGAAACAUAUGCAAAUGAAUGUAUGCUUUGUAUGACAAACAGAGACAAGGACAAGGAUAUACAAAUUGCCUAUAAGAGUACCUGUUCAUGAGAAGAGGUUCAAGAAACAGAAAAAGAAAACCCAAAUUCUGCUGAGAAGUUGAAACCAUACUUUAAAUGUGCCUUUAAAACUGUUUAAAUAAAUGCAAGCUUACAUGCUUUUAUCCAGCUUCUGCAUCUUGCUUACUUCAAAUCUUUUGUUGAAAGAACUUUUUUUUUAAUUUUAUGGUGGGUUUUUGUUUUUAGAUUUAACCCUCAUUUUUUAAAGAAAUCAUUCUCAAACAACAGAAGGUAUAAGUACCGUACGAUCCCUCAGACCAGGCUUAAUUCAACUUGGAUAUGUAGAACUCGGCAACUCUUGGCCUCCAACUAAGGGAUGAAGCCAAGAAAUGCUCCUUUAUGUUUUCUCAGACUGAGGAAAUCAACUUGUGGAACCAAAUGUACUUUCUAGCAAGGAGAAUUUACUCCUCUGAUCAGAAAUGGAACUAAUUUGGUUUUUCAUCUUGUUAUGAUGUUUUUCCUGCAAGGCAGUGCCAUUUGGUCUUUUGGCAUCCCUUGUUAACAUGCAAUAUUCUCACUGGCUUGUACAGCUAUUUAUAUGAACACACACAAGCA